rnacentral:rRNA from 1 species
AGAGUUUGAUCAUGGCUCAGAUUGAACGCUGGCGGAAUGCUUUACACAUGCAAGUCGAGCGGCAGCGCGGGGCAACCUGGCGGCGAGCGGCGAACGGGUGAGUAAUGCAUCGGAACAUGUCCAUGUCGUGGGGGAUAGCCCGGCGAAAGCCGGAUUAAUACCGCAUACGCCCGAGAGGGGAAAGCCGGGGACCGCAAGGCCUGGCGCGAUUGGGUUGGCCGAUGUCCGAUUAGCUUGUUGGUGAGGUAAAGGCUUACCAAGGCGAUGAUCGGUAGCUGGUCUGAGAGGAUGAUCAGCCACACUGGGACUGAGACACGGCCCAGACUCCUACGGGAGGCAGCAGUGGGGAAUUUUGGACAAUGGGGGCAACCCUGAUCCAGCCAUUCCGCGUGAGUGAAGAAGGCCUUCGGGUUGUAAAGCUCUUUUGUCCGGAGCGAAACGGCACGGGUGAAUAUCCCGUGCUACUGACGGUACCGGAAGAAUAAGCACCGGCUAACUACGUGCCAGCAGCCGCGGUAAUACGUAGGGUGCGAGCGUUAAUCGGAAUUACUGGGCGUAAAGCGUGCGCAGGCGGUUUUGUAAGCCAGACGUGAAAUCCCCGGGCUUAACCUGGGAAUGGCGUUUGGGACUGCAAGGCUUGAGUAUGGCAGAGGGGACUAGAAUUCCUGGUGUAGCAGUGAAAUGCGUAGAUAUCAGGAGGAAUACCGAUGGCGAAGGCAGGUCCCUGGGUUAAUACUGACGCUCAUGCAC